AUCCCCAAUGAAACCAAGCUUACUAUAUGUAUGGUAGAAAAGACAGAAAAGACAACCCCUUCUCCUCUCCCCUGAGCACAUCAAGGGUUCACCUGUGUGACCCAGGCGGCUGUUCUUAUUCCUAGACUCAUUACUUAAAAUAGUCUCUCUUGGCAAGUUUCUGAUGGAAAGCAGUCUCCAAAAGUCCUUUGACACUUCUAUUCCCUGAAGAUCUCACAAGAGUCUGGUGUUACCGAACACAAAUGUGUCAAUUCCUAGAUAGCUACACAGAAAGACAAUGAGAGAGCACUAGAAGGGUCCAAUGAGGUGUAUAAAAGCUUAUUCAGAAAUGAAGAUUGAGGGGAACCAAGAUGAAAGAGUAAAGCAGAGAAGCUUGAGGUCAGGAUGAGAAUCCCCUCCAACCAAUAUUAAAAUAGCAUCACAAAAUGAAUAUAAGAGUGAAAGAACCAAAAAGGAGACAGAGAGAAACAACUUUCAAGAAAAGAAAGACAUAAAAGAUGAAGAAAGAGAGUUUCAGAAGUGAAGCAGAUGGAGAGAGGAGGCUGUACAAAUAUUUGAAGGAACGCAAGUGCUGGCAAUCUUGGUGAGCUCCCUCAUGAUGCAAAGUAUCUAUCAGAAGAAGGGGGAAAAGAAUUCAAACAAAAUGAAGCCAUCUCCAAAGACCAGGAGGAGCAGAAGCCAUCAGUGGCAUGGGGAAUCAAUGAGGCAAAAAUGAUUGGCCUAUGAAAAUCAAUAAGGCCACAGACCACUGGCCUAGACUCCCUCCUGUAUUUGUGGUUGAUUAGGUCAGUCGUGUUUGUCCUCACCCAGGCUGCUGACCUUGACAUAUUGCCGCGCUUACCCCAACCAGAAAAGCAUUCACAAAUAAUUGUAGGUGGCAGGAAACAGAAGCCAUCCACUGAGGCCAGAAAAUCUGAGACAGCUCUGUGUCUGUGUGGCACUGGGCAAGUCUUUCCACCUCUCCUUUUCCUCUUCCCUCCGUGUCUAACAUUUCAAAUGAACGACAGCAUGAGGGACUCCGGCUUCUAACCCGGAAGACUUCCACAACCUGGCUAUGACUUAGUAGGGAAGUAGAGUGGCUCACAGCUUAGGAAGGUGGCUUAGCUAGGGAUCAUUAAUGCUUGUAGUGUGCCAGGAAGCACAGAGAGACAAGCAAAACUGAGCGCACCCUCCAGGAACGCAGAUUCUCAUAAGAGAGACAACUUGUUCGUGUAUAUGGGGUUCAGAACAUCCUAAGGAAAGCUACCUCAGAAAAUCGCACUAGGAUAUUUGGGACACUUCAUAUGUAGGAAACAAUCAAAAUAGAUAAAAUAGACUCUUGGAGGGGAAGCCAGGGACCUCUAGGGAAAACAGGAAAGAACUGCAGUUGAAAGAAAAUGGUCCUUGAACUGAGUCUUGAAGGAAACCAAGGAAGGUAAAGAAGAGGGAAUUCUAGGCAAGGAAUAUGGUCACUUAUUAUUCAGCCAUUUCAGUCCCAUCCAACUCUUUGUGACCCUAUUUGGAGUUUUCUUGGCAAACAUUUUGGAGUGGUUGGCCACUUCCUUCUCUAGCUCAUUUUACAGGUGAGGAAAUUGAAGUAAACAGGAUUAAGUGACUUGCCCAGGGUCACAUAGCUAGUAAGUAUCUGAGGCUGGACUUGACACAUGCAGAAAGCAGCAAAGACAGGAUUUGAACCCAGGUGUGCUGAUUUCAGAAUCAGUAUCUCAAUGACUUGCCCCAGAGUUAUCCUAGAAGAGCUAGGAUUGGGAACCAAGCCCUCAGAAUGCAGACUAUUCUAGUAGUCAGGCUACCACCCUACAGUUACAUUGCUCAAAGGGAUCCUUUGAAUCAUUGUAGGGGCCAGUUCCCCCACCACCAUUACCCUGUCUCUGAAUGCCUAAGUUUAAAGUAGGAAACCUCAAAGGGCCUUCCAGCUUGAACACUCAGAAGACCAUGAAUUCCCAGCCAAAGGUCCCCCUCUCAAUCAGCAUUCUCAGGGGUUUGCUUCAAGAAAGAACCCUAGCUUUCAGCCAACACCACUUUCUUCUCAUUUGAUGCUGCUGGGCUCCUGUCUUCUUUCUGUUCUCUGGCUAAGGCCUUGCCUUGGCUCUUCCUACCUUGGGGAGGUCUAGCUCAGUGGACUCAACUUCUUUUCAGGAGCACACAAAUAUAUCCAUCCAGCCCCAGAAUUCUCCAGGGCUCUCUGUUCCCAUCCUGAUGACCCUUUCAUCCCUUUGAUCCUCCUUUUGUCCCCACCUCCAGAGCUCCAGUAUUUGUCCCCAACCCAGACCACUCUUCUUCCUGACAAUUUAGCCCCCAUUUCCUUCCCACUUACAGGGUAAAUGUGGACUUUUGGGUCUCAGGAAAACUGCCAACCAAGAAGGUCUUUAUCUCACACAGUUUGGGCUGCUUUCCUGGAAGGAGAAUAGGAGAAUUGUCCUGCAAUGAUUUAUUUUGGUUUCCUUUCUGAGGCAGACAGAUGAGGCAACAGAAAUAAUCUCCUUUGCACAUAGUAGAGAAAAAAGUAGAGGUUCAAAUCCUAUAUUUCAAAUAACUCACUGUGUACUCUUGGACAAGUCCCAUACUCACUCGCUCACUCUGCCUCCUUUCUCUCUGUUGCUCUCUCUGUGUCUGUGUCUCUGUCUUUCUAUCUGUCUCUCUCUCUGUCUCUUUGUCUCUCUCUCCUCUCUGUCCCUGUCUCCUUUUUCUCCCUCCCUCUCUCUCUUCUCUGUCUGUCCAUCUGUCUGUCUCUCCCCUUUGAUUAUAAAUUCCUUGAGGGCAAGGACUGGUUUUUUUGCCUCUUUUGUAUCUGUAGGGCUAACCACAAUCUUGGCAUAUAGUAUGUGCUUAAUUAACAUUCAGUGAUUGAUUUUUUAAGCCCUCACUUUCUGUCGUAGACUCAAUACUGUGUAUUUAUUCCAAGGCAGAAGAGUAUUGAGGACUAGAAAAUGGGGGUUAUGUGACUUGCCCAGGAUCACACUGCUAGGAAGUGUCUGAGGUCACAUUAGAACUCAGAACCUCCUAUCUCUAGGCCUGGCUCUCUAUCCACUGAGCCACCUAGCUGCCCCGAAUUGAUUGAUUUUUCAUAGAAAUGUGACUUUAGUAGCUUAAUAAACAUAGGCGCUAAAUAAGUAUUCCUAGACUUUAACCUCUCUGAGCCUUAGUUUUUCCAAUUGUAAAAAUGGAGAUAAUUUACUUUGGGAUUGUUGUAAGGUUCAAAUGAGAUGAUGUACAUAAAGGUCUUUGCAAACCUCAACGAAUCAACAAACAUUUAUACGCUACUUUGUACCAGGUACUGUACUGCGUGCUGAAUGAAAUUAUUACUCAAUAUGGGACAGUAGGGAAAGAGUACCAAGGCACAGCAAGCUGGGUGGGGGGGUACUAAGGGGAAGGCACUCCAGAGAGAAGGAAAACUUGCCUGAACCUGACCUUUCUUAGAAGAAAAGCUGCUAUAAACACAAUGCUAUUAAGAACCACAGAAUGGGGCACUUGUUGAAGAGAAGAAAUGGGUCACCCAAAGUAACCAGGGGAGUAAAUGCCUUUCCUCUGGUUGGUUUCUGAGCUGAAAUGUAAUCAUCAGGUAUGAUUGAACCAGCAAAAGGAAUCCUUCCUUACCCACAAAUAUCAGGCCUAAGAGUUUCUCCUAGGGUUCUCCUUCUCUCCCUGCCUCUCCUUCCUGGGCUGAAGUUCUCAUCAAUAUAGGAUAGCUUUUUAUCUUAAAAUAUUUUAUGGGGUUUGAGCCACCUUUUCUUGUGGCCUCAGGGACAAGAAUGACCCAGGAUGAAAAGGUAAGGGGGGUGGAGAUAAGGUGGAGUCUCCACAUUUAUGAUCCCUUGAAGUAUUUUUAAAAUUUGAAGCUUUGGCUUGACCCAACAAUUCCUUAGCAGGUGCUGGGCUUGUGGCAUAGUGUUACUGACUUUAUCAUCCCAUGACUUCAUUCAGACAGUCAGCCUCUUUGGAAAGUUUCCUUUUAUAUUUAGGAUAACUUCUAAAAGUAGAGAUCUAAGGGGGGAAAUAGCUGAUGUGUGGGGUUUCUUUUCUUUUUUUUUUAAGCAAAAAUGUAAAGCUAUCAAGCCUGCAAAUUAGGAAGAUGGCUUUGGAAAUGUUAUGAAGGAUUUAAUAAAACAUAAAGAGUCUAGAGUCAGGGAGAUUAGUUGAAAGGCUGUUAGAAUAAUUUUAGGUGUGAGAUAAUGAAGGCCUAAACCAGAGUGGUGGCAGCAGAGGUGGAAAUGAGGGCAUUGAAGCGAGAUAUCUUGGAGGCAAAAUCGACAGGUCUUGGCAUUUGAUUGGAUGUCAGGGUGGUGAGGGAGGCAGGAGUCCAAGAUGAAGUCAAGGUUUUGAGCCUGGGUGACUGGGAGGAUGAUGGCUCCAUCAGCAGAGAGAGGACAAGAUUGUCAAAGGAAAUGAUGAGUUCAAUUUGGGACAAUGUUGAGUUCAUGUCAAAUGUCACACCGGCACUGCAGCUAUAGAUUUGGAACUCAUCUACACAGAGGUGAUAAUUGAAGCCAUGGAAGUAGAUGAGACUAGUUAGGGAAAGACUCUCAAAGAAGCAACAUCGUAGAGAAGGAAGGAGGGAGGGAGAGAAAGAGAAGUGGGUGGGAGAGAGGGAGGGAGAGGGAGAGAGAGAGGGAGAGGAAAAGAGAGAGGGAGAGGGAGAGGGAGAGGAAGAG